rnacentral:rRNA from 1 species
GUUUCCGUAGGUGAACCUGCGGAAGGAUCAUUACAGUAUUCUUUUGCCAGCGCUUAAUUGCGCGGCGAAAAACCUUACACACUAUGUUUUUUUAAUUUGAAACUAUUGCUUUGGUCUGGCUUAGAAAUAGGUUGGGCCAAAGGUUUUAUCAAAACUUCAAUAUUUAUUAUUGAAUUGUUAUUUUAAUUUUAUUGUCAAUUUGUUGAUUAAUAUCAAAAAUCUUCAAAACUUUCAACAACGGAUCUCUUGGUUCUCGCAUCGAUGAAGAACGCAGCGAAAUGCGAUAAGUAAUAUGAAUUGCAGAUUUUCGUGAAUCAUCGAAUCUUUGAACGCACAUUGCGCCCUUUGGUAUUCCAAAGGGCAUGCCUGUUUGAGCGUCAUUUCUCUCUCAAAUCUUCGGAUUUGGUUUUGAGUGAUACUCUUAGUCAGACUAAGCGUUUGCUUGAAAUGUAUUGGCAUGAGUGGUACUAGAUAGUGCUGAACUGUUUUCAAUGUAUUAGGUUUAUCCAACUCGUUGACCAGUAAAGUAUUUGUUUAUUACACAGGCUCGGCCUUACAACAACAAACAAAGUUUGACCUCAAAUCAGGUAGGACUACCCGCUGAACUUAAGCAUAUCAAUAA